UGCAUUUCUCUGUGUCAUGAAAAUUCUUCA
rnacentral:piRNA from 2 species